UUGAACGCUGGCGGCAGGCCUAACACAUGCAAGUCGAGCGGAUGAAGGGAGCUUGCUCCUGGAUUCAGCGGCGGACGGGUGAGUAAUGCCUAGGAAUCUGCCUGGUAGUGGGGGAUAACGUCCGGAAACGGGCGCUAAUACCGCAUACGUCCUGAGGGAGAAAGUGGGGGAUCUUCGGACCUCACGCUAUCAGAUGAGCCUAGGUCGGAUUAGCUAGUUGGUGGGGUAAAGGCCUACCAAGGCGACGAUCCGUAACUGGUCUGAGAGGAUGAUCAGUCACACUGAAACUGAGACACGGUCCAGACUCCUACGGGAGGCAGCAGUGGGGAAUAUUGGACAAUGGGCGAAAGCCUGAUCCAGCCAUGCCGCGUGUGUGAAGAAGGUCUUCGGAUUGUAAAGCACUUUAAGUUGGGAGGAAGGGCAGUAAGUUAAUACCUUGCUGUUUUGACGUUACCAACAGAAUAAGCACCGGCUAACUUCGUG
rnacentral:rRNA from 1 species